rnacentral:tRNA from 1 species
AGGGCCGUAGCUCAAUUGGGUAGAGCACCGGUCUCCAAAAUCGGGGGUUGCGGGUUCGACUCCUGCCGGCCCUGCCA